rnacentral:rRNA from 1 species
GCAGCCGCGGUAAUACAGAGGUCCCAAGCGUUGUUCGGAUUCACUGGGCGUAAAGCGUGCGCAGGCGGACUUUUAAGCCAGAUGUGAAAGCCCCGAGCUUAACUUGGGAAUUGCGUUUGGAACUGGGAGUCUAGAGUCUGUCAGAGGGGGAUGGAAUUCCACGUGUAGCAGUGAAAUGCGUAGAGAUGUGGAGGAACACCGAUGGCGAAGGCACGUACCCCGUGGGAUAAGACGUGACGCUCAUGCACGAAAGCGUGGGGAGCAAAACAGGAUUAGAUACCCUGGUAGUCCACGCCCUAAACGAUGUCUACUAGUUGUUGGGUAGCAAUACCUCAGUGACGCAGCUAACGCGUGAAGUGACCGCCUGGGGGAGUACGGUCGCAAGAUUAAAAACUCAAAGGAAUUGACGGGGGCCCGCACAAGCGGUGGAUUAUGUGGAUUAAUCGAUGCAACGCGAAAACUUACUGGCCUUGACAUGCCACUAACGAAGCAG